AAAUAUAUAUAGACUUGUGUUUCUUGUCAAGAACAAAUAUUUGUUCGACUCGUGGACUCGAACCGCUCCUUCUUGGUGUUUGUUAAAGCAAUGCCAAGUCCAAAAGGACUUAUGGAAAAAAGAUGAAGCGAACCUUUAGCUGUUGUACAUCUGCGAUAAGUGUUUCUAUCUGCUUGGGCAUUUAAUCGCCGGCACCCCCAAGGAUAAUAAAGAAAGCUAUAUUUUUGCCAGCUAAUGUAAAACCUGUCGCACAACUCAUAAUAAUUCAGCGGAGAGGGCUCUAGACAAAUCCCAAAUGCUUCAAGCUAGAUGCGUGUCUCUGGCAUUUUCAAAUCAACGCACGGCGACACGCCUUUCACUUUUCCAUUUGCCGCGUGCCAGUCGGUUGACAAGGUUCGAGCUUCAGGCGGGAAUCCCAGCAAUAUCUGCAACUUGAGCUGAGAACUCAACUUUGUGCACAAUAAACGGGCGCACUUGACUGAAUAUGUUAGCGAUAAUCCUUCGGGGGCUCGUAACAUAUACGUAUCUAAAGAGCUCGGGUAAUUGAAGGCGGCUUGGUAAGGCAAGAGGGGGGCGGGGGGUAGAGGGGGAGGUGACAGCAUAUGCAGGAUAUGUGGCAAACGUGUGACCUGUCGCAUAUUUAUGUCAAAGUUGCGAACGGCGCUCAAAUGUCCGCAUCUCGAGCUUUUGCUCUAGCCUCCGUCCUCUUUGAGCCAAGGCAAUAUCCUUCCUGUGUUUAAUAAACUCCGCGACGAGUCGAGGCGAUGCUGCCUGCCACAAAAAAAAACUAAAGGUGGUCUCGACGACAAUGUGCCCUGUAUUCGGCGCUCAGCGGCUGUUCUUUCCAUAACAGAAAUUGCUUUCUUCAAUAACUUCGGUCUUUGUUGUCCGAUCUGCUUGCAAUUUUGCGGUCACCUUAGCCCAAGACUAAACUGAAUAUUUGAGAGUUGCGUUAAAACACUUGUUUGAAAUUUUGAUCGAUAUUUGGCGAUAAUUAUAUAAAUUAAAGUUAUAAAUGUGUAAAUGUGCUAAA